rnacentral:rRNA from 1 species
CAGUAGCCGCGGGAAUACGUAGGUGGCAAGCGUUGUCCGGAAUUAUUGGGCGUAAAGGGCUCGCAGGCGGUUUCUUAAGUCUGAUGUGAAAGCCCCCGGCUCAACCGGGGAGGGUCAUUGGAAACUGGGAAACUUGAGCGCAGAAGAGGAGAGUGGAAUUCCACGUGUAGCGGUGAAAUGCGUAGAGAUGUGGAGGAACACCAGUGGCGAAGGCGACUCUCUGGUCUGUAACUGACGCUGAGGAGCGAAAGCGUGGGGAGCGAACAGGAUUAGAUACCCCCGUAGUCCCUGUCUCUUAUAC